GCCUGUUCGAGCGUCAUUUCACCACUCAAGCCUCGCUUGGUAUUGGGCAACGCGGUCCCUCAAAAACAGUUGGCGGGCUCGCUAGUCACACCGAGCGUAGUAACUCUACAUCGCUAUGGUCGUGCGGCGGGUUCUUGCCGUAAAACCCCCCAUUUUUUAAGGUUGACCUCGGAUCAGGUAGGAAUACCCGCUGAACUUAA
rnacentral:misc_RNA from 1 species